rnacentral:rRNA from 2 species
CCAUGGCAAUGAUACGUAGCCGACCUGAGAGGGUAAUCGGCCACAUUGGGACUGAGACACGGCCCAAAACUCCUACGGGAGGCAGCAGUAGGGAAUCUUCCACAAUGGACGAAAGUCUGAUGGAGCAACGCCGCGUGAGUGAAGAAGGGUUUCGGCUCGUAAAACUCUGUUGUUAAAGAAGAACAUAUCUGAGAGUAACUGUUCAGGUAUUGACGGUAUUUAACCAGAAAGCCACGGCUAACUACGUGCCAGCAGCCGCGGUAAUACGUAGGUGGCAAGCGUUGUCCGGAUUUAUUGGGCGUAAAGCGAGCGCAGGCGGUUUUUUAAGUCUGAUGUGAAAGCCUUCGGCUCAACCGAAGAAGUGCAUCGGAAACUGGGAAACUUGAGUGCAGAAGAGGACAGUGGAACUCCAUGUGUAGCGGUGAAAUGCGUAGAUAUAUGGAAGAACCCAGUGGCGAAGGCGGCUGUUGGUCUGUAACUGACGCUGAGGCUCGAAAGUAUGGGUAGCAAACAGGAUUAGAUACCCUGGUAGU